CGCACGCCACUUCCCUCAGCCUGUAGAACUUCCGGCAGCAACUGCAAUUAGGGGUAGUCCAGUGCUAAAUUGUCGCAGCCUUGAAAAUAUUCUGCUUCGUUAUUUCGGGCACUCCACAGAUUCUGUUGCGAAGGCAGCCAUCUUUAGUUCGUCUUUCCUAGAGAGCGUUGAGAAGAUUCUGCUCCAUUUUUUCUGAUUAUGGAUUCUGUUCAGAAGGAAGCCGAAUUUUAAGUCAUCGUUCUAGGAUAGAUUCAGCUCCAUUUUCUCUGGUGGUAGAUCUCCAUGGAUGCUAUUGAGAAGGUACUUCUCAAAGUCCACGAGGACAAGGACAUCUUUCCACCGAAUGCCACCUGGUUUAUAACAAAAGCAUGAAAAACAAACAGGAAUUUCUCAAUGCAGAAAGGACUGAAGCUGUCAAAGGUGUGCUUUUUUUCUGCACAAACAAGUUUCCAUUGAAUGAUAGAAUAAAGAGAUACUGACUUCCCCGGAGCCUCCAAACUUGAGUAGUCAGCAGGCAUUGGGAUCCGUGGAAGGCUUGUUAAAUCCAAAUAGAUUGGUCCUACUCCAUCCGCAGAGUUGCUGACGAGGUGCGUCCAGGCCUUCUCCUCACCUCUCAGGGAGAUAUACCAUGCAGUGCCUUCAGUUAUGGUGUUGUGACUGAGGAUGCUUCGGUCAGACAUGUCCCUGAAAACCUGCAUAGAGGAAUCUCUUGCCCCAAGUUUCAUUCCAAGUAUUUAAAUUGGAAUUGAGCAUCCUGUCAUGCCAGGGAUGAGAAUGCCUGGGUUACAUCAGUUAGCCCUCUCCUCUUGAGGAAUGGCAUAUUACCCAUUUUAGGUGAGCAGAAGGUCUUUUCCUGAGAUUUGUGGGAAGAGAAGGUCACUUUCCAGUAGGCUUUGUAAAUUUGGACAAGCUGGAUCCAGAGCAACGUUUCUCAAACACUGCACAUUAGAUUGGCUAAGGGACCUUGAAAACACUUGUUAUCCAGAGUUUGAUAGGUCGCCUCAAAUUAUCAGAAUGUGAAUGUAAAACCUUGUUUUAGUUAUUUUUAAUGAAUCAUCUGCCAUUCCAUGAUUGGGAAAGUAUGAAAAAACAUUUGUUCAAGGAUUAUCAUCCUUACACUGCUGAGUUGGAAUCCAUUCAGGAUUUGUUAAAUCCAGAUUGGUAGGUCCUACUCCACCUUCCAGUUUUGGAUUGUGUAGGUCUCCAAAGGAGGGGCUGAUAGCCUGCUCCAAUUAUGAUAAGUGAGAACCGUGAAAGGUUUUAGUUUGAUUUAGGUUUUUUUUUUUUAAUUUAGGUUUUUUGUUUGUUUGUUUGUUUGUUUUUGGAGUAGCUUUCCAAAUAACAGAGACCAUAAAAGUUCCUCUGGGUUAGUGGGUACCAAAGAAGUUGCAUUUCUACCAAGAUCCCAGGCAAUAUCCCUGCUGCUGUUUGGGGAUGUCAUAUUGUGAAUCAUUUUUCUAGACCACCUUCUUUCCAUUGAGCACUUUAGACUGAGUCUGGCCUUUGCUUACAAUAGCUAACAAUGACAGAUAGAUAGGUUGAGUAGCAAGAGUUGUAUUACAUCUUUUUAUUUGCCAUCUCUUUUUUCAGUUUCACUGCUGUAAUUCAAAUAUUUCUCUUCUACUGAAAAAUAGAAUGAUAAUCAGAAUAAGAUGACUUUUCACAGGCCUCAGAGCCAAUAGGAGAAUGAGCUCAUAUUGGAACACAGAAGAGCUGGACCCAAACCCUGUGUUCUUAAAAUGGAUGAGUUGGAAGUUUCAAGCCAGAUGGAGGUGCCAGCGCCAUGUCCUACUGGGCAGGUGAACCUCUCCUUGAGGGUGAAUCAGAGCCCACAGCAGCAUGCAGCCACUACUGCUUUGUGGUUCUUUCAGGCCUGUCUCCUUACUGCACAGGAAGAGUGUUCUAUGCACCCACAGUGCCUAUAAUUUAAGGUGUAGAGAAUGAAGGGGAAAUGGGUCAGAUACACCUCUGAAAACCUGUACUGAACUGUAUGUUGAAGGCAACAUGUUCUUUCACAUGAGAUUUUAGCCACAGACUGAACCAAAGGCCAAACCCUAAAUGCCAAGAGCCCCCAUAUUCUAAAGUGAGGUACUGGAUAAUCUUGCAGAGGCACAAGACCCAAAUUGAUUCUGCAGGCAUUGACUCAACUGCAGGCAUCACUCAACCGAGUGAAAUAAAAGAGUUGAGGUGGCGAAAGGAGGUAAGACUUUUUUAAAAGAGUUGCUAUCAUGGCAGGCUUUUUCUGUAAACAUGAGAGAGAGAGAGAGAGAGAGAGAGAGAGAGAGAGAGAUCUGUCUCCUUCCCUCCAUUCAGGUGAAAGGAGCUUAGAAGGGGCCCUCAUGAAGUCCAAAUCUAUUGAUAGUCAUUUAUCUUUGCUUCAUUGAUAAAUAAAAUUUUGUCUUCUUAUAAUUGGGAAUCUAUACACUCUUAAUAUAGUUGAAAUAUCUCUUCUAAACCUGCUGCCUUUUAUUUUUCCUGAAGGUGGAUUCCUUGUUACUGCCCUGCUGUGUAGAAACAAAAAUUUUGUUCCCUGAGACUAGGAUGACAGGUUGUACAAGGAGCAUGGGAUCAAGGAUAUCACAGCAGAUUUAUUUCAGGAUGGAAGGUGACUCUCUGGGAGUUAACAUGAGCAUUGUUCCACACACUUAGUAAUUCCCAUGUUAUUAGAGUUAGGGAAAGAACUGUGUCCACAUGGCACACCAUUUAUUCAUGGGUACCUCAAUGCUACCACAGGUUUGAUUAUUAUUUUAGAGGAUGUCAACACAACUUGGAAAGGCCUUUGUACUGAUGCUUACAGUACAUUACAGUUUAAGAACACAGAUGAAAAAUCACCAAGUAAAAAAGGAGCAUAGGGAGGAAUCCAGGAGAAACCAGGCUCAAGCUUCCAGCCACCCUCUUCCAGUGGAGUCAAGUGCACUGCACUUAAUUCUCCCAGCCAGGUGUGCGGCCACCUGUGCCAAGUGUUCCCAACCAGCUGCACUUCAAGGGAAGUUAUUGAAUAUGUCCUAUCCAACUAAAACAAGGAAAUGAUGAAAAAAAUAAAAUCACUUUCCAGAGGCCUCAGGGCUAACUGGAGACAGAGCUCAGACUGCAACUGAGAAAAGUUGGACUCCAAAACCUGUACUCUGAGCUUUACUGCAUGAGAAAGUUAUUGAAAUGUGCCUUGUGACAUUCAGAAUAAGUGACUUUUCAGAGGUCUCAGAGUCAGUAAGAGACAGAACUCAGAUUGUAACCAAGAAGAGCUGAACUCCAAACUUCUGUGUCCGGAAUUGGUGGGUUCUUGGUCUCACUGACUUCAAGAAUGAAGCGGCAGACCCUCGCGCAUACCUGCCAUGCAAGAAAUGUGAAAAGUUCUUCGGAGAGAAGGAAAAUUAUAUAGGUCAGAAACUGAGACCUACAUAAGGAAAGAAGAGCAUUGGAUGAAGAAGAAAUAAAUAAAGAUGCAAUGGAUUAAGACUCUUGACUAGAAUAAUCUGAAGCAUUCUGCGUGAAUUUGUGACCAAAGAAACCAAAAAUCAGGCUACCUUUGACAAUGUCAAAUUACAGUGAACUGUGGAGUCGAUUAUACCUCUCAUAUUUCUUUAUUAUGUUAAAUGCUUAAUUAUUUGCUUGAUUCUGUCUUUGUCAUAGUCCUUUAUUACAAUGACGUCUUAUUUAAGUAAAAGAAUUCCAAAUACAUAGAAAACAAAAGCAUUUGUUUUAUUUCAAAAUAAUGAAGAAACAUAAUAGGUUAUACAACUUUUCAAGAGACCAUUAUGCUGUUAAAUCAUUUAUAUAUCUUCUCUUUAUUUGGACUCAGAAAAUAUGGACAUUAUAAUGCAAAAAGUUACUGAAAAAUCAAUGUCAGCAUCAUCUGAACUCUUUUCCCCUAAUCUAAUCUAGGCAUUUGGAUUACCCAUUUCUAAGCACAUCAGUGGUUUUUGAAUGUCAGUAGCACCCUGCUUAAUCAAUAAGCCUUUAUUUGGCUCAAUGAACUGCUGAUACGUACUUUUACAUAUUCAAAAUCUGUCCCUCAGUAUGGAUACUAACUAGAUCUUUUUUGAAUGAGAAGGUCAGGUCAGGCUCCCCCUUGGCAAUGAUACCAGCUCCCUCAGAUUCUCAUUAAUGGAACCAUGUGCUCACUGAACAAAGAAUGCUUACAGAAAAAAAAAAGAAUAUUGACGUCAGUGUAUAUUAUAUUCCUUAAAAAUAUUUAUAAACGAGCAUUCGUUAUAGAAGCAAGGAACAUGACAGCUUAUUGAUUAUGCAAAUAUGUUCCUUGUACGCUUUUAAAAUAAAUCAAUUAGUGCAAGAGUUGGCAAAGUCUUCCUUAAAGGGCAAGAUUAUUAAAAUAUUAGGCUUUGCUGGCCAUUUGGUCUGUCACAACUAAUUAACUCUGCUGUCGUAAUGGGAAAACAGCCACAGACAAUAUGUGAAAUAAUGGAUGUGGCUGUAUUUCAAUAAAACUUUGUUUAGAGAAACAGGUGGUGGGACAGUGUGUUGAUCCCUGAACUAAUGGGAUAAAAUAUAACUUAAAUAUAAUAUGCAUGUAUGUACAUAUGUUUCUGUUUACAAAAUAGAAUUGAGUGUCUCUUUCAGCUAAUUGAGCACCAUAAUGUAAACCUACAAGAGGUACGAGAGAAUUUCGUAUAUGUAUUUGAAGUCUUGACACUGCUAAAUCUUUUGUUUGUAAUUGGCAUGCCAUGUUGGAAGACAUAAUAGAGAAACUGUCUAUCCAUGCGUCCUUUACUUAAGAAAACUAAACUCUUCUCUGAAGUUAUGUGGUAUAGAUUUUUCCUAAAGGAAGCCAACCAGUUGAAAGAUCAAGCUAUGCAUUAACUCAUCACACUUUAAAUAAGUAAAUAAAUAAAUAACUCACCUAGUUCAUUGUUUGGAUGGUUUAUUGGAUGUGAGAUACUUCAUACUGUCCUGACACAGAGUUUAUUACCUAUGUAAGAGAAGGCACAUAUGGUUAGGUUUCAAGAGAUAUUCUAAUUGUUUCCUGUGGUGAUGUUUGAACUCUACAGUCAAAUUCAGAUGCAUUUAAUUUGGUAAGGUAGACAAUUGGUUAAAUGUUUGGUGUCAAAGUAAGAAAUACAUAGUGAAUUGAUGGAGAGGAAUGUUCUUAAAGUGGUCUAUACAGAUUGACCCUAAAAUCAACCUCACCUUUAUAUCAACCUCGUCUUUGAAAAGAUUGCAGCCCCAAGGACUUUGAUUAUUUUUCUUCAUGACCUCUCUGGGUACCUGAUAAUAGGAAUAGACACACGAAAAAAAACCUGAUAAUGUUACUCUGGUGUAAUCACAACUACUUCUGCUCUAUUAAAACUACCAUGCGAUAUGACCACUUUUACAGUCAUUUGUUAACUUUCUCUUUUAUCAUCAAAGUUGUACUGCACAUACUCAAAACUGACAGCUACAAUAGAGUGGCCCAUAUAUUCUCUGAGAUCAAGACAGAAACAUUACUCAUCAAAUUCUAAUCUAGUGUCACAUAGGAGAAAUACAACUAGCCAGUGAGACUCUCACUGCUAUCUGGCUCACAGAAACAGAUAGAGCAACUUCUCAUCUAUUAUUGAAGCAUUGCAGAAAUUGUGGUGCAGUGUAUGUGCCUACACUAUAAAGUAGCUAGGCUUGCACUUUUUAUGUGUGUUUGGCCAUAUAAUUCAUCUGGGCCUAGUAUCAACUCAGGACAUGGAUAUACUUUUUAAAGUAAUUGAGUAAUGUAUAUCUUUAAAAGCAAUCUCGUUAGAGCUUUAGGACAUUUCUAACAAAGCAAUGAAAUGUAGAGAUCUUAAUACAUUUCUAUGACUAUGAAUGUAAAUAAUAUAUGUUAUUUAAUAUUUUUCACAUGAAAAGAAAAUACUAACCCAGAAUGAAAAUGUAUCAAUAAUCCUGAGUAAAUUAAUCUAACAACAAUGAAUGUUUUGUGGUGCAUAUUUGGCAAAGCCUUCAAAUUUGUCAGACCUUUACAAAUCAUUUUCUUAUGUAGAGUCAUUGCUGUGUUUUGUAAUAAAUUUUGAAAACUGGCUUUAUGGAAUAAAAUAAAAAGCAAAUUUAUUAACUUUUUUGUAAAAGCUUUUCAAUGGUUUCACUAACUAUUUAAAAACAAAAAUAAAUAACCUUUGAGAUUGCUAUAUCAUUGAGAUUAUUUUAAAAGUCUCUUGAAAGUACUUAUACCUUAUUUGGUAUUAUAAAGAGGUUUCUAUAAAAAGUUACUUGUAUUUUGUGUCCCAAAUAAUUCAACAACAUAUUUAUUCAUUCUGCAAACAAACGAUAGCUGUUCCCUAAAGCAAUAUUUAUUAGAAAACUUAGGAAACCUGAGCAAAAUAUUGACUGAAGACAAACACAUUUAUAAUCAAUUAAAGAUAAAAAAGUUAACUUUUUACAAGAUGGACUAAAGAUUUAAAUGUAAGACCUCAAACUAUAAAAAUCUGAGAAGAAAACUGAGUAAAUACCCUUCUCGGUGUGAGCUUUGGCAAAAAAAAAAAAAAAAAAAAUUAUGGCUAAGAACCCAAAAGCAAUUGAAACAAAACCAAAAAUUGACAAGGGAGCCUAAUUCAACUAAAGAGCUUCAGCAUAGCAAAAAGAAUUAUGAACAGAAUAAACAGGCAGCCUACAGAAUGGGAGAAAAUGUUUCCAAGCUAUACAUCCAACAAAGGUCUAAUAGAGCCUAGAAGGAACUUAACAAGCAAAAAACAAUCCAAUUAAAAUGUGGUCAAAGGACAUGAACAGACACUUCUCAAAAUAAGACAUGCAGGUGGCCAACAAACAUGAAAAAAUGCUCAUGAACACUAAUCAUCAGAGAAAUACAAAUUAAAACCAAAAUAGAAUACCAUCUCACACCGGUCAGAAUGGCUAUUACCAAAAAGUCAAAAAAUAACAGAUGCUGGCAAAACUGCAGAGAAAAGGGAAUGCUUACACACUGUUUGUGGGAAUGCAAAUUGGUUCAACCACUGUGGAAAGCAGUUUGGAGAUUCCUCAAAGAUUUGAAAACAGACCUACCACUCGACACAGCAAUCCCAUUACUGGAUAUAUACUCAAAGGAAAAUACAUCUCUCAACCAAAAACAAACAUUCACUCAUAUGUCUUUGUCAGUGCUAUUCACAAUAGCAAAGACGCAGAAACAAUAUAGGGACCCAACAAUGGUGGACUGGAUUUUAAAAAUGUAGUACAUAUACACCAUGAAAUACUGUGUAGCCAUACAAAGAAUGAAAUAAUCUAUUUUGCAGCAACAUGGAGGCAACUGGAGGCCAUUAUCUUAAGAAAAUUAACUCAGGAACAGAAAAUUAAAUGCUAUAUGUUCUGAUAUAUAAAUGGAAGGUAAACAUUGAGUACAUGUGGACUUAAAGAUGGGAGCAAUAGAAACUAAGGACUACUAGAUAGGAGAAGGAGGGAGGUGAAUGGGCUGAAAAACAACCUAUUGGGUACUGUCUGGGUGGGAUCAUGUGUACCCCAAACUUCAGCAUCACACAGUAUACACAUAUACACACAUAUAUACACACAUAUGUAUAUACACAUAUAUGUAAUAUAUCAAUACACAUAUAUGUAAAUGUAUGUGUAUAUAUGUAAAUAUGUAAAUAUAUGUAUAUAUGUGUGUGUAAAUAUAUGUAUACAUGUAUAUGUGUGUAAAUAUAUGUAUGUAUACAUAUAUGUAUAUGUGUGAAUAUGUAUGUGUAUAUGUAAAUAUAUGUAUAUAUACAUAUGUAUACAUGUAAAUGUAUGUGUGUACGUGCAUAUGUAAACACACAUAUGCAUAUAUGUAAAUAUAUGCAUAUGUAAAUACAUAAAUGCAUAUUUAUGUAAAUACAUGUAAAUAUGCAAACACACAGAUGCAUGUUUAUGUAAAUAUAUGUAAAUACAUAAUGUGCAAAGCGCAUGUAUAUGUAAAUAUAUGUAAAUAUGCAUAUAUGUAAAUGUGCAUGUAUACACAUGUAUGCAUGUAAAUGUGUAUGGCUAUAAACAUACGCAUAUAUGUAAAUAUAUACGUAUAUGUAAAUAUAUGUAAAUAUAUUUACAUAUAUACAUAUUCACGUUAUGCAUAUAUGUAAAUAUAUUUACAUAUACACAUACAUAUUCACACAUAUACAUAUAUGUAUACAUACAUAUAUUUACACACAUAUACAUGUAUACAUAUAUUUACACACACAUAUACAUAUACAUUUACAUAUAUGUAAAUUGAUAUAUUACAUAUACGUAUAUGUAUAUAUUUACAUAUCUGUAUAUAGAUGUAUUUACAUAUGCAUAUAUGUAUAUAUUUACAUAUAUUUACAUGUAUACAUAUAUGCAUAUAUAUAUAAAUAUAAAUACAAACCUGUCCAUGUACCCUCUAAAUCCAAAAUAAAAGUGGGGUAAAAAGGCUUAACUUUUCACAGAUUAUCUUCAAAGUGACCACUAAUGGAUAUACUUCCACACACAGAAAAAUAAACCCAGAAAGAGGAAAUUGAAUGAAAGAAGAAAUGACGAAAGAGAAAAUGGUUAAAUCUAAACAAGUUGUGAGGCUGGCACGGUGUCUCACGCCUGUAAUCCCAUCACUUUGGGAGGCCGAGGUGGGAAGAUCUCUUGAGACCAGGAGUUUCAGUCCAGUCUGGCCAACAUGGUGACACUCUGUCUAUACUAAAAAUACAAAAAUUAGCCGAGUGUGGUGGUGUGUGCCUGUAGUCCCAGUUACUUGGGAGGCUGAGGCAGGAGACUCACUUGAACCCAGGAAGUGGUGGUUACAGUGAGCCAAGAUUGCACCACUGCGCUCCAGCCUGGGCGACAGAGUGAGACUCUGUCCCAAAAAUAAAUAAAUAAAUAAAUAAAUAAAUAAAUAAAUAAAUAAAUGUAAACAUGUGAGAUUUUAAAAUAUUGUAGUAAAGUUUGGAAUUGUUUAAAAGCAAAACUUAAUGAAAAGACUAGGAAAAAUAGAGGGAUGAAUGGUAGACGAUAUUUGAAUAAAUUCUGUCAUGUAAGGGAUGAGAAAAAUCAUGGGCGCACUCUAAAUUUGUGAAUUAAAUAUAAAAUUAAUAUGGAUGUUUAAUGUUAAGGACCUCGAUUAAAACGGAAUAAUAGAAUGCGGGAAGAAAAUUAAUAUGAAACCAAAGCAUGACAAUUUUUUAAAAUAGUAAAAUAAAUACAUAUAUUAUAAAAUGAGAAUUAUAAAUUGAUUAAAUUCAUUCAUUAGAAGACAUUAAGAAACUAGAGUCUUGAAAAUUAGAUGUGUGUGGCUUAUUAAGAGAAACCCCAAAAGCAAACUGACAGAUACAUUUGAAUCAUCAGGGUUGGAAGGCAAUAUGUAUCUGACAAACUAAACAAAUAGAAGAUAAUAAGAUAAUAUGUAAUAUUACAUAAAAUACAAUUUCACAUGCCAAGAAUCCAUAAUAAUAAAACUAAUGAUAACUAUAAUAUAAUAAGAGCCAACAUUUAUGAUAAAUACAUGGCAAUUAUAAAUUUGUACAAAGCUAAGAGCUUAUCUUCAAAAUAUAUAACAUGAAAUAGCAUUAAAAAAGUAUAAUAAAAACAAAAAAAAUUAAAAAAUGAAAUUUUAAAUGUGUUACCCUAUUUGAAGGUUUUAAGAAAGUUUUCUUAGAAUAUAAUAUAUUGUACAUAAAUAAGCAUAAAUAUAGG
rnacentral:lncRNA from 10 species